rnacentral:rRNA from 1 species
UCACUUUCAACAACGGAUCUCUUGGCUCUCGCAUCGAUGAAGAACGCAGCGAAUGCGAUAAGUAGUGUGAAAUGCGUAAUUUGUGAAUCAUCGAAUCUUUGAACGCAAAUUGCACUCCCUGGUAUUCCGGGGAGUAUGCCUGUUUGAGGGUCGUU